rnacentral:rRNA from 1 species
UACAGAGGGGGCAAGCGUUGUUCGGAAUUACUGGGCGUAAAGGGCGCGUAGGCGGCCUGCUAAGUCGAACGUGUAAUCCCCGGGCUCAACCCGGGAACUGCGUCCGAUACUGGCAGGCUUGAAUCCGGGAGAGGGAUGUGGAAUUCCAGGUGUAGCGGUGAAAUGCGUAGAUAUCUGGAGGAACACCGGUGGCGAAGGCGGCAUCCUGGACCGGCAUUGACGCUGAGGCGCGAAAGCCAGGGGAGCAAACGGG